AGAGUUUGAUCAUGGCUCAGGACGAACGCUGGCGGCGUGCCUAACACAUGCAAGUCAAGGGGCUGUUUGUAGCAAUACGUACAGUCACUGGCGCACGGGUGAGUAACGCGUAGAUCAUCUGCCCUCAACUCAGGCAUAACAUCUCUAACGAUUUGCUAAUACCUGAUGAGGAGGAAGCUCCAAAGUAACGGUUGAGGAUGAGUCUGCGUCUGAUUAGCUAGUUGGUAAGGUAACGGCUUACCAAGGCGACGAUCAGUAGCUGGUCUGAGAGGACGAACAGCCACACUGGAACUGAGACACGGUCCAGACUCCUACGGGAGGCAGCAGUGAGGAAUAUUGGUCAAUGGUUUAACAACUGAACCAGCGACGCCGCGUGUGGGAUGACGGGGCUAUGCCUUGUAAACCACUGUCGGAUGGGACGAAAACCCCGCUACGCGGGGCCGGACGGUACCAUCAAAGGAAGGGUCGGCUAACUACGUGCCAGCAGCCGCGGUAAUACGUAGGACCCGAGCGUUGUCCGGAUUUACUGGGUGUAAAGGGUGCGUAGGCGGACAGGUGCGUCAGAGGUGAAAUUUCCCGGCUUAACUGGGAGGAUGCCUUUGAUACGGCUUGUCUUGAGUGCGAAAGAGGAUGAUGGAAUUCCUGGUGUAGCGGUGAAAUGCGUAGAUAUCAGGAGGAACACCAGUGGCGAAAGCGGUCAUCUGGUUCGCAACUGACGCUGAGGCACGAAAGCGUGGGGAUCAAACAGGAUUAGAUACCCUAGUAGUCC
rnacentral:rRNA from 1 species